rfam:Medicago truncatula strain A17 chromosome 1, whole genome shotgun sequence.
UUUGAUGUGAAUGGAUUAUGUUUAGAUAUACUCAUUUAAAAGUGAUUCUUUCGAGUUGAUGUUGUUUGGAUAG